AGUUUGAUCAUGGCUCAGGACAACGCUGGCGGCGUGCCUAACACAUGCAAGUCGAACGAGACCUUCGGGUCUAGUGGCGCACGGGUGCGUAACGCGUGGGAAUCUGCCCUUGGGUUCGGAAUAACAGCGAGAAAUUGCUGCUAAUACCGGAUGAUGACGUAAGUCCAAAGAUUUAUCGCCCAAGGAUGAGCCCGCGUAGGAUUAGCUAGUUGGUGAGGUAAAAGGCUCACCAAGGCGACGAUCCUUAGCUGGUCUGAGAGGAUGAUCAGCCACACUGGGACUGAGACACGGCCCAGACUCCUACGGGAGGCAGCAGUGGGGAAUAUUGGACAAUGGGCGAAAGCCUGAUCCAGCAAUGCCGCGUGAGUGAUGAAGGCCUUAGGGUUGUAAAGCUCUUUACCCGGGAUGAUAAUGACAGUACCGGGAGAAUAAGCUCCGGCUAACUCCGUG
rnacentral:rRNA from 1 species